GGUUGUAGCUCAGUGGUAGAGCACUCGCCUAGCACAUGUGAGGCCCUGGGUUCUAUCCUCAGCACCA
rnacentral:tRNA from 1 species